CCUACGGGGCGCAGCAGUGGGGAAUAUUGGACAAUGGGCGAAAGCCUGAUCCAGCCCUGCCGCGUGUGUGAAGAAGGCCUUCGGGUUGUAAAGCACUUUCAGUGGGGAAGAAAGCCUUGGGGCUAAUACCCUCGAGGAAGGACAUCACCCACAGAAGAAGCACCGGCUAACUCCGUGCCAGCAGCCGCGGUAAUACGGAGGGUGCGAGCGUUAAUCAGAAUUACUGGGCGUAAAGCGCGCGUAGGCGGUCUGAUAAGCCGGUUGUGAAAGCCCCGGGCUCAACCUGGGAACGGCAUCCGGAACGGUCAGGCUAGAGUGCAGGAGAGGAAGGUAGAAUUCCCGGUGUAGCGGUGAAAUGCGUAGAGAUCGGGAGGAAUACCAGUGGCGAAGGCGGCCUUCUGGACUGACACUGACGCUGAGGUGCGAAAGCGUGGGUAGCAAACAGGAUUAGAUACCCCAGUAGUC
rnacentral:rRNA from 1 species